GGUAGGUUACCUUAUUUGGACUUGCAGCCUUGUAAAGGAGAGGAGAUGUAGACUGGAAUAACACUAGUGACAGGCCCUGGAUCUCUGCCCUACAAUCAUUUAUCACCUGAAGGUGAUCUGUUGUGGAAUGUUCUGAUUAAUGGCUCGUCUGUUCUCUUGGAAGGUUGGAAUCCAGCACUAGAGUGGGCUGCUUGCUCAAUAUCUUAAGGAUGCUGGGCACUCCAGUGCCUCCCAUUAAAAUGAGGGACAUUUGCACUCCUUAUGGCCAUCCUGAGCACCUACUGUAUGUACAAAUCUGAAGACGUUUGCCAAAUCUCCCAGUCCCAGGCAAUAGUGAGUACCUGUACCAGCUAAAUAAACAUGGACUGAAAAGUGCAAUUCUACUUUGAAAUAGGGCUCUCUAAAAAUGGCAUUACCAACAGACAUUCCUGAAACAACGUUGGACCAAUUGUGCUGCAUUUACACAUGAAAAGAUUUUUGUUUUUUUUCUAACAUCAAGCCCUGUAAACUCCGCCUGGACUCUGAGAGUUAAGCUGGGUUCUCAUUCUUGCGGAUCAUUGCUAGUAAUGAAGGUUUUGCAAACCAAAUUAGUCCCUGUGAAAUACCAAUGCAAUCCCUUUUACCCUCAUUGGUCAUAAGGAAUUAUGUUAAUGCAUAAGGUGGAGUAGAAUCCAUCUGCCUUCUCUCCCGCUCCGCUCCUCCUCCUCCCC